rnacentral:rRNA from 1 species
ACGUAAAGAACCUGCCUCAUAGACUGGGAUAACUAUUGGAAACGAUAGCUAAUACCGGAUAACAGCAUUAACUGCAUGGUUGAUGUUUAAAAGUUGGUUUUGCUAACACUAUGAGAUGGCUUUGCGGUGCAUUAGCUAGUUGGUGGGGUAAAGGCCUACCAAGGCGACGAUGCAUAGCCGACCUGAGAGGGUGAUCGGCCACACUGGGACUGAGACACGGCCCAG